CCGCCUGUAGUAUCAACACACGGCAACAGAAACAAAGGAAUGAGGUUGACAUGCAACUUAGCGGUGGUCCUUCUAUCCCUGAUGUUUUUGGUUUGGGCCGUAGUCAGCCACCCUGUUGGUAGCCCAGAGAUAGCUAGUAUCAAAAACAUCAGCUCACAUCAUAAUAUCAAGGAUGAAAGAGAAAUGAGAAACAUUCCGCAGUGGCAUUGCUUGCGCUAUCGCCGCUUCGCUCUCGUCAAGCGAUGUCGAAACUACCGACGACACUAAUGUCACCGAGGAAAUAUUUAUGUACAAGAUUAACUCGUUCCUUAAAAGUUAUCAGACUGAUUGUACAUUUACCAAUAGUAGAAACUUGGUAUAAGAUAACAAAUAAUGAACUGAAACCGAAGGAGAAAAGUAGCUCUCAGAACUUAGUGCCUUUACAUGUAAAAAGUUAACCACUUACAAGGCAUAGACGUUGGUUAUGUUAUUUACAUCUAGAAUUUUGUCAAGAAAUGUAAAAAUUCAGUUUGAUUUUGGUGUUGUACUUAAUUUACAUUAUUGUAUAUUACUUUAAAGAUGA